rnacentral:lncRNA from 1 species
AAGGAUUUCAAUGCAACAAUUAGAUAAAUGAUGCACACAUAUUCCAAUUGAUUAAAACAAUACAAAACCAAGUCACAAAAACGAAAAGACCAAGUGAAACAAUCAUGAAUUUGCAAGAAACAACAAUAAAGAUGAACGCAUGAAACCUAACCCAAAAUCAAUAAGAAAAAAUACAAUGCAAAGACUAAUAGAAAAGUAAUAGAAUGAAAUGCCUCAAGAACAAAAAGGCUGAAGAUCCCAAGGACGCAAGGUAUAGAGAGAAACCAAACUGACAAAAAGGAAAUACAAAAUCUCCUCACGGAUAACUAAGUCUUAAAUUUUUAUUCUCUCUAACCAAGUCGAACUAAGUCUUGAAUUCUCAUUCUCUCUGACCAAGUCUUCAAUAUGGUGGCAUAAUGUAUUGUAUUAGGUGGUGCAGGACAAAAAUUCAAGAGGUCUAAAUUGAACAACUAAUUCUCUUUUUCUCUAUUCCUAGUUUAAUGCAUGUGCUUAGACGUAAAAUACGAAAGAAUAACAAACAAAAAGAUAAUAUGAAG